ensembl:lncRNA
CCUGACCUUGGCCUGGAAUUCAAAGGAAAAUCAGCCCAUAAACUUCUAAAGCUAGCAGGAGAUAAAUAUCCUUAGUCAUAAAAGAACAAACGAUGUUUGGGGUGAGGGGCCUUGUGGGGAAGCAUACUGUAAAAGUCCGUGCCAGAUUUUUCAGGAAGUGCCAGCGGCCAUUAAAUCAGAAAGGGAGAGAGCAACGGGGCCAGAGAGCUUGCCCACUGUCUUAGCACUGAUCUCAGCACCCACUAGGGAUGCCUGACAGAUCACACCCAGCCAACAGAACACGUGUCUGGGGAAGCCUGGAUCCCUCUGUGCGGAGGAACAAAUCAGGAGUCUUGGGGAUGAAGGAGCGAUGUCUGCCCAAGGUGUGGUUUGAAAGGAUGGGCAGGCAUCUACCAUUCCAGGUCCAUUCCUGAGCGGAUUCUGGAUCUCCUGCCUGGGUUAUAUGAUUCACAUACAUAACCCUGAAUCAGCGCACCCAUUGUGUGCCCCUGACAUUUGGGAGAAGAGGACAACACGCUCACGCUGUGCUCUGGGCUUCGAGGACAGUGGUGGCCUUAGAGAACCUACCUACAAGGGAGGAACAGGCAGAACUGACCUCUGAAGGAAGUGGCAUCGAUGCUUCUAAAAGGAUGAGUAUUACCUUGGGAGGGUGUCAGGCAGGAUGAGGAUGGAAUUUCGCUGGGUUUGGAUCAGACAUUUGCCUUGUGAAAUCUGACAAGUCUGGGAGGGUAAUGGGGGAACUGCUAAGGGAUUUUAUGCAAGGGAGCGCCAUUAUCAACAAAAACAAUCCUUUUGAAAGCCAGGGAUGGUCGUGCACACCCGUGGUUCCUACUCUUGGGAAGAUAGGGGAGGGUUGGAAUUUCAAGGCCAGCGUUGACUACCUAGCAAGUCUAGGCUAGCCUGAGCUAGAGAAGCCAUCUCAAGCCAACAUGGCGGCUAAGAAUGGAUCUCGGUCGGUAGAGGCAUGCAUGGGGCCUGAUGCCAGGGAUACGGGUUAUUCUCAACAGUAGAUAAAUUACACGUCUAAUCCCAGUCUUUGGGAGGUCGAGGCGGGGGUAUCAAGGGUACAAGGUCAUUUUUUUUGGCUACAUAAGUGAAUGUUGUCAAGAAAAGAAAAAGAAAAAGACAGACAGACCCAUUUAACUGAGGAAAGGGUGAGGUAGGGAGAGAGGAAUGGAUUCAAUCAGGCACAGCGAGUCUGCAACAAAACCGAGAUUUGAACUAGGGUCUCCAGAAUCUAGUACUGGGUAGAAUAUGUGUGCUUUGGAAGCAUGAACACUGAGAAUGGGCCUUAAUAGAGGACUCUGUAGAGAGUGGUGUGGAGAGGAUGUCCCAGUGUAUUUAUGUGGGCUAAGAUUCAAUGACUGGUCUCCUUAGAAGAAGAGGGUAGGCAAGAUUGCUCAGCAGGUAAAAGAGCUUUCAUCACACCUGAGGACCAUUCCACAAGUUGUCUUCUGAGCAUCCUAUGCACAUGAUAGUGUGUAAUCUCAGAAUAAAUAAGAAAGCCAGGAGCGCUAACGCACACCUUCGAUCCCCACACUUGGGAGGCAUAGGCAGGCCGAUCUUUGAAUUCAAGGAUACCUUGGUCUACAGAUGGAGUUCCAGGACACUCUGUCUUAGCGGGGGAAAAAGCCAGUGAGAAGAAACCACAGAGACACACAGACAGAAGUUCCUGUGAACACAGAGGUGGGGAAUCACAGUCACCACGGACAAAGCAACGCUCAGGGUAACCAGCAAGCCUCAGUACCUAGGUUCUUUUGCCCUGGAGCAGGUAAAAUGGAACCAAGUUUUCAAGCCAGGUAGCAGAGCUCUGUGAUCCCAGCAUGUGGAAGGGCUGGAGUGGAAAGGGGUUUGCAGAGAGGGGGAGAGGGCUCGGUACCAAGAGAGAGUUCCUGGGAGCUGGGGUGACUAUGGAGAAUGACUUCCGCAGUCACUUUGGCCUAGUUUCCUGAGAGAGUGCGUCAGUUCUCAGGGCUGUCCAGACAGAAGGCAAGCCUUUGUUCUUCCUGAUGACCUUUGAGGAUGACAAGGAUGCUAGUGCUCCGUGAACUCAUUUGAACAGCAGAGCCCGGCCCUGGAGGAGCAGGGACAUGGUGGCAGUAACAGCAACACGAACGUCACAACGACCUCAAGAACAAAUAUGUCACCUUCUACUUCCAGGCAUUUUAACAGAGCCAUCAUGAUCCCCCACUUAUGAGAGGGUCCCUGGGAUCAAAGACAUGCACCACCACCACCCUGCAGUUGGUUGGUUUUAAGAUAGAGUCCUUGCCUUGCGGUUGAGGCACUGACAAGGGGACCAGGGAUCCAGACUAUUAACAGAAGUCUCUGAACUCCGUCAUCAGAAGACAAAUGAGCCAAUUAAAACCUGGGCAGAAGAUUUCUUUAAUGAACACUCCGCAGAGCUAUUCGAAGCAGUUAGUGCACAGUUCCAGUCGUCAUUAGAACAAUAAAACUACAUCUUUCAUCCCAGUCCUCAGAGGGCAGAGUCGGCUGAAAUUUGCCUGUCUGGUCUGCAUGGUGAUUUCCGGGCCAGCUAUAGCUACAUAGUGAGAUCCUGUCUCAGAGAAGAAGGGGAAGUGGUGAAGGGAGAGGGACAUGGCCACGGAAUGUGUGUGUGUACAUCUAUUAUCCAAGUACUUAGGAGGCAAGGACGGACAGACAGAUGGAGUGUUUAAGACCAGCCUGUGCUACACAGCUGGUGACACUUUGGAAACAACAGAGGAUGUUGCAAGCCCAGCACAGUAGCUACAAUGUAAAUGACAGACAGCUGGAGGGUUGACAAGGUCCACAGGGCAACUGCAACAUUCCAGGUGUUGGUGGGACCUGAGAAGGAAUUUAUACCUCAAAACGAUUGCUUUUGAAAAAGAAAUAGGUCUGCAAACAGUAAGUUAUUAAGUCAAGUCCAGCCUGAGGGUGGUGUGUGCCUGCAAUCCCAGCUUUCCAGAGUCAUCCCCAACCUUGGCUGUGUAUCAGUUUCCAGGUCAGCUUGGACUACAUUAAGACCUUGUUUCAAAAUAAAACAAAAGUAG